CAGCAGCCACGGUAAUACAGAGGGUGCAAGCGUUAAUCGGAAUUACUGGGCGUAAAGCGCGCGUAGGUGGUUUGUUAAGUUGGAUGUGAAAUCCCCGGGCUCAACCUGGGAACUGCAUCCAAAACUGGCAAGCUAGAGUAUGGUAGAGGGUGGUGGAAUUUCCUGUGUAGCGGUGAAAUGCGUAGAUAUAGGAAGGAACACCAGUGGCGAAGGCGACCACCUGGACUGAUACUGACACUGAGGUGCGAAAGCGUGGGGAGCAAACAGGAUUAGAUACCCCCGUAGUCACUGUCUCUUAUAA
rnacentral:rRNA from 1 species